UGUAAAUCCUGCAUAGGGUAGACUAGUCGUUUUUGAAGAACCAAGUUUGUCAAACCGUCGGCAACAUCUAAUAUGUAACAAAGACUUGAUCCUACAAAAGACGCUCUACUUUCUAGAUAUUCAUCUGUCACAGCAUCAUCAUUUUUUUAUUCUUUCGUGCCGCGCGAUUAUCGAAAGGCGAGCUUCCAUCAAGUAUUUCGAGCAAGGUCGAAUCGAAGAACGAAGAAGAUACAUUUGAAUAUUUUAUUACAAGAGAG